AUCGGCGGGUCCCUUCCCGGUCGGGGACGAGGGUGACAGGUGGUGCAUGGUUGUCGUCAGCUCGUGUCGUGAGAUGUUGGGUUAAGUCCCGCAACGAGCGCAACCCUACGUUUAGUUGCUAACGCGUGAAGGCGAGCACUCUAGACGAACUGCCGUUGAACAAAACGGAGGAAGGUGGGAUGACGUCAAAUCAUCAUGCCCCUUAUGUUCUGGGCUACACACGUGCUACAAUGGCCGGUACAGACGGACGCAAAGCCGCGAGGUGGAGCAAAUCCUAAAAAGCCGGUCUCAGUUCGGAUUGCAGGCUGCAAUUCGCCUGCAUGAAGUCGGAAUCGCUAGUAAUCGCAGGUCAGCAUACUGCGGUGAAUACGUUCCCGGGCCUU
rnacentral:rRNA from 1 species